UGCGGAUACAUGCAGUCCAGGCCUAACACAUGCAAGCUCCAGGCCUAACACAUGCCAAGGUCCAGGUCCUAACACAUGCAAGUCCAGGCCUAACACAUGUCAAGUCCAGAGACCUAACACAUGUCAAGGUGCCAGGCCUAAGCGACAUGCAAGUCCAUGUCCUAACACAUGCAAGUCCUGGCCUAAUACAUGCUAGUUCAGUGCCUAACUGAUGUCAAGUACGGGACUAAGGCAUGCCAGGUCCUGAGAGGGUGACUGGACACUCUGGGACUGAGACACGGCCCAGACUCCUACGGGAGGCAGCAGUGGGGAAUAUUGCACAAUGGGCGGAAGCCUGAUGCAGCGACGCCGCGUGAGGGAUGACGGCCUUCGGGUUGUAAACCUCUUUCAGUAGGGAAGAAGCGAAAGUGACGGUACCUGCAGAAGAAGCGCCGGCUAACUACGUGCCAGCAGCCGCGGUAAUACGUAGGGCGCAAGCGUUAUCCGGAAUUAUUGGGCGUAAAGAGCUCGUAGGCGGUUUGUCGCGUCUGCCGUGAAAGUCCGGGGCUCAACUCCGGAUCUGCGGUGGGUACGGGCAAACUAGAGUGAUGUAGGGGAAACUGGAAUUCCUGGUGUAGCGGUGAAAUGCGCAAUUUCAGGAGGAAACACGAUGGCAAAGGCAGGUCUCUGGGGUAUUAACUGACCCUGAAGAGCGAAAGCUUGGGGAGCGAACAGGAU
rnacentral:rRNA from 1 species